GACGAGGGGUCCUAGCGUUGUUCGGAAUUAUUGGGCGUAAAGCGGGUGUAGGUGGCUCUGUAAGUCAGGAGUGAAAUCCCCGAGCUUAACUCGGGAAGUGCUUUUGAAACUGCAGAGCUUGAAUGUGGGAGAGGAUCGUGGAAUUCCAGGUGUAGUGGUGAAAUACGUAGAUAUCUGGAGGAACACCGGUGGCGAAGGCGGUCUUCUGGACGGUGACUGACGCUGAGGCGCGAAAGCGUGGGGAGCAAACGGG
rnacentral:rRNA from 1 species